rnacentral:lncRNA from 1 species
GGGUACCUCACCGGGCCCGGCACCCGGUACCGUGCUGGGGAGGGGGACAUGGUGCCCGAGCCCCCCUCUGUGCCACGCGGCUCCGGGCACGGGUGCCACACACGGCUCAUCUCCUCGAUGGGUCAGCCCCAUCCUGGCACGGGUGGGCACCCAGGCUGCUGCAGGGUGGGCAAGGGCAGAGCCACCGGUGCUUGUGCCGUGCCGUGCCGUGCCCGUCCCCGUGCCGUGUGGCGGGGGCUGCAGCUCCGCGCAGCAGAGAAUCCUCCUGCAGAGAGAGUAAAAAUAGCAGCAGGUUCGGGGAAGCGGCGUUCGCCGCCUCGUCCCCCCACCAGCGGGCACCGGAGGGGAACGGGAGCCUUCGCCCGCCGGAGGAGCGAUGGCGGGGCCGGGCACGGUGGGGACACGAGGCCGGGCACGGUGGGGACAUGGGGCCGGGCAUGGCAGGGACGUGGGGCCGGGUGCUGUGGGGCUGGGGCGUGGAGGUGGAUGGGGCUGCAUGAGGGGACAGGGGGUCCAGGGAUGGGGCGUCGUGGGGACGAGGGCACGGCGGGGAUGGGACAUCGUGGGGACAGGGGGUCAUGGGGACGGAGCAUCGUGGUGAUGGGGUACACCAGGGAUGGAGCAUCGUGGGGAGAGGAGGACACUGGGGACAGGGAGUGGUGGGGACAGGGUGCCAUGGGGAUGGGGCAACGUGGGGACAGGGCAUCAUGGGGGACAGGGCGUCGUGGGGACAGGGUGCCGUGGGGACGGGGCAUCGUGGGGAUGGGGCAUUGUGGGGACAAGAGGAUGAGGACGGGGCAUCGUGGGGACAGUGUGCCAUGGGGACAGGGCAUCAUGGGGACGGGGCAUCGUGGGGACAAGAGGACACUGGGGACGGGGCAUCAUGGGGACGGGGCAUUGUGGGGACAGGGUGCCAUGGGGACAGGGUGCCAUGGGGACGGGGCAUCGUGGGGCCAAGAGGACACGGAGGCUCCGGUCCGAGAAGGUGAGUGUGGGGAGGCGGGGCCUGUGCCCUGGAGUGGGCGGGGCCACGGGGUGGGCGGGGCUCGGGCGGGGCCGGGGGGGUGGUCAGUGGGUGGCGGGGUCCCCCCAGCGCCCCCCACUUUGGGUGUCCCCCUCCCCUGCCCGACCCUGCGGCGGGG